GUGGAGAGGAAGGGGUGGCACUGGGGACUGGACUAGGACAGGCUUUCAGUUUCCCUUUGAAAGGACUUCCCCUGAGUGGGGAAUUUUGAUUGGAAAGUUGUAAGCAACCCACACUCCACUGGUUUGGCUGCCUCUUCCCCAGUGGCACCCAGGAUCUGAAAAGAAACUGAAAGUUGGGAAGAGGGGAGGGAAGGGGGAAGGGAGAGGCUAGGGCAGUUCAGAGCAACCGGGUUGAAUUUCUGGUGACCUCAUCAAGCCUGGGGGAGAUAGGCAGGCACUGCCUGCCUCUUCCCCUGGACGGGAAACCCCUGAGGGCAAGGGCUCGGCGUGACUCACAGCUGGUGGAGGAACUCUAGUGUUUCUUUCAGGUGGGGAUGGAGAUGCCCUUCAAGGUCGCAGGACCACCCUAAUCGGAACUUUGUAAUGGGUCCAGGCUGGGGGCAGGAGAGACCAAGGG